UACGUAGGCAGCGAGCGUUGUUCGGAAUUACUGGGCGUAAAGCGUACGUAGGCGGAUUGUUAAGUCGGGGGUGAAAUCCUGGAGCUCAACUUCAGAACUGCCUUCGAUACUGGCGAUCUCGAGUUCGGGAGAGGUGAGUGGAACUGCGAGUGUAGAGGUGAAAUUCGUAGAUAUUCGCAAGAACACCAGUGGCGAAGGCGGCUCACUGGCCCGAUACUGACGCUGAGGUGCGAAAGCGUGGGGAGCAACAGGG
rnacentral:rRNA from 1 species